GAUUCUGCCAGUAGUCAUAUGCUUGUCUCAAAGAUUAAACCAUGCAUGUCUAAGUAUAACUCAAUUUAUAUGAGAAGACUGCGAAUAUCUCCUUAAAUCAGCAAUCGUUUAUUUGAUCGUAACUGAAGGAUUACUUUGGUAUAAUUGGAUAACUGCGGUAAUUCUGGAGCUAAUACAUGCUAAAAAGCGGCGCGUCGCAAGGCGCGCCGCUGUAUUUAUUAGAUUUACAAAACCAAUACAGUCGUUCGGGCAUUCCAAACGCCAGCAAUGGCGGCUCGGGCGGCGAAACAAAAACUCGUUGGUGAUUCACAAUAACUUUUUCGGAUCGUGUGCGGGGCGACUCGCGACGACGUUUCAUUCAAAUUUCUGAUCUAUCAUCUUGUAGUCAGUAUAGAGAACUGACUAGGAAGCGACGGAUACGGGGAAUUAGAGUUUGGUUCCGGAGAAUCCGCCUGAGAAACGGCGAAUACAUCCAAGGAUGGCAGCAGGUGCGCAAAUUGCCCAAUCCUAAUACAGGGAGGCAGUGACAAUAAAUAACAAUGCGGAAUUUGUUAAAAGUUUCGCAAUUGCAAUGAGUACAAACUAAAUCCAUUAACGAGUAGCGAGUGGAGGGAAAGUCUGGUGCCAGCAGCCGCGGUAAUUCCAGCUCCACGAGUGUAUAUUAGAUUUGUUGUAGUUAAAAAGCUCGUAGUCGAAACGAGGAGCAAAACUUUUUGGUGAAUUGAACGGCGUCGGUUGGCAUCGGCCAGCAAUGGUCGGUGUCGGCGGCGUUUUUUGUUCAUUCACCGUUGCUCUUUUAACGAAGCAUCGACAUCGUCGCAAGGCGGUGUUUUUGCUUCUUUUUACUUUGAAAAAAUUAGAGUGUUCAAGACAAGGAGUAUCUUGAAGCGGCUCGAGGCAACUCGGGUCGUCGACAGCUACACUUUUAACCUUUUGAAUAGUUCAGCAUGGGAUAAUGAAACAAGACCUUUUCUGUUUUUGAUUUUAUUGGUUUUGCAAUUACGCAACAAUCAACGAAUGGGUAAUGAUUAACAGGGACAGUUGGGGUUCUUGGUAUUUGACAGCUAGAGGUGAAAUUCUUGGAUUUGUCAACGACCAACUUCUGCGAAGGCAUUGAACAAGGAUGUUUUCAUUGAUCAAGAACGAAAGUUUGGGGAUCGAAGAUGAUUAGACACCGUUGUAGUCCAAACUAUAAACAAUGCCAGCCCUGGAUGAGUGAAAGUUGAAAUUUGUUUGGCGGCGUCGCUUCGGCGGCGUCGUCGAACGUCAGACUUCAUUUGCACAGUAUUGAGAAAUUAGAAGCGUUUGGGUUCUAGGGGGAGUAUGGUCGCAAGACUGAAACUUAAAGGAAUUGACGGAAGGGUACCACAAGAUGUGGAACGUGCGGCUUAAUUUGAC
rnacentral:rRNA from 1 species